AGCCGCGGUAAUACGGGAGGGGUGCGAGCGUUAAUCGGAAUUACUGGGCGUAAAGCGCAUGCAGGUGGUUUGUUAAGUCAGAUGUGAAAGCCCGGGGCUCAACCUCGGAAUUGCAUUUGAAACUGGCAAACUAGAGUACUGUAGAGGGGGUAGAAUUUCAGGUGUAGCGGUGAAAUGCGUAGAGAUCUGAAGGAAUACCGGUGGCGAAGGCGGCCCCCUGGACAGAUACUGACACUCAGAUGCGAAAGCGUGGGGAGCAAACAGGAUUAGAUACCCCUCGGUAG
rnacentral:rRNA from 1 species